AACAUAGCCUUUAGCCAAACAAGUAUUAAAGGUCCCGCCUGCCCAGUGACAAUUUUUAACGGCCGCGGUAUUCUAACCGUGCAAAGGUAGCGUAAUCACUUGUCUUCUAAAUAAAGACUAGUAUGAACGGCUAAAUGAGGUCAAGCCUGUCUCUUAUAACCAAUCAGUGAAACUAAUCUCCCAGUACAAAAGCUGGGAUAAAAUCAUAAGACGAGAAGACCCUGUGGAGCUUUAAGCAAACCACUAACCACACCAGGACUAAGUGCUCAGCUUUGAGUUGGGGCGACUUUGGAACAAAAUUAAACUUCCAAGCACAGAGCCAUAAACUCUUACAAGGCCUACAAGCCACAACCACGACCCAGUAACACUGACCAACGAACCAAGUUACCCCAGGGAUAACAGCGCCAUCUUCUUCAAGAGUCCCUAUCGACAAGAAGGUUUACGACCUCGAUGUUGGAUCAGGACACCCAAAUGGUGCAGCCGCUAUUAAAGGUUCGUUUGUUCAACGAUUAACAGUCCUACGUGAUCUGAGUUCAGACCGGAGCAAUCC
rnacentral:rRNA from 1 species